GCGGGUCGGGCCGUUCUUGUUAAGGCCGUCCUCACCGCUAUUGCCAUAUAUCACCUGACGCCUCUCGACAUCCCGGUCGAGGUUCUGAAGAAAAUUGAUAGUCUACGGUGCGCCUAUCUUUGGGCGGGCACAGAUAUUGUUUCCGGUGGAAAAUGCAAAAUAAACUGGGACCUUGUUUGCAAG
rnacentral:rRNA from 1 species